UGGGGAAUUUUGGACAAUGGGCGAAAGCCUGAUCCAGCCAUGCCGCGUGAGUGAAGAAGGCCUUCGGGUUGUAAAGCUCUUUUAGUCGGAAAGAAAAGAUCAUAAUGAACAAUUAUGAUUCAUGACGGUACCGACAGAAAAAGCACCGGCUAACUACGUGCCAGCAGCCGCGGUAAUACGUAGGGUGCGAGUGUCAAUCGGAAUUACUGGGCGUAAAGGGUGCGCAGGCGGUUUUGUAAGUCAGAUGUGAAAUCCCCGGGCUUAACCUGGGAAUUGCGUUUGAAACUGCAAGACUAGAGUGCAGCAGAGGGGAGUGGAAUUCCAUGUGUAGCAGUGAAAUGCGUAGAGAUGUGGAAGAACACCGAUGGCGAAGGCAGCUCCCUGGGUUGACACUGACGCUCAUGCACGAAAGCGUGGGGAGCAAACA
rnacentral:rRNA from 1 species